CGGACGGGUGAGUAACGCGUGGGUAACCUGCCUCACACUGGGGGAGUAACAGUUAGAAAUAGCUGCUAAUACCACAUAAGCGCACAGUUCCGCAUGGAACAGUGUGAAAAACUCCGGUGGUGUGAGAUGGACCCGCGUCUGAUUAGCCAGUUGGCGGGGUAACGGCCCACCAAAGCGACGAUCAGUAGCCGGCCUGAGAGGGUGAACGGCCACAUUGGGACUGAGACACGGCCCAA
rnacentral:rRNA from 1 species